UUGACCUCGGAUCAGGUAGGAAUACCCGCUGAACUUAAGCAUAUCAAUAAGCGGAGGAAAAGAAACCAACAGGGAUUGCCCUAGUAACGGCGAGUGAAGCGGCAACAGCUCAAAUUUGAAAUCUGGCUCUCGGGCCCGAGUUGUAAUUUGUAGAGGAUACUUUUGAUGCGGUGCCUUCCGAGUUCCCUGGAACGGGACGCCAUAGAGGGUGAGAGCCCCGUCUGGUUGGAUGCCAAAUCUCUG
rnacentral:rRNA from 1 species